GAUGAACGUUGGCGGUGUGCCUAAUACAUGCAAGUCGAACGGAGACUGUAGCAAUACUGUCUUAGUGGCGAACGGGUGAGUAACGCGUUGGUGAUCUGCCUCGAAGUGUGGAAUAACCUCCCGAAAGGGAAGCUAAUACCGCAUAGUCUCUCAAGGUUUAGAAAAUUGAGAGUAAAGGAUUUAUUCGCUUCGAGAGGAGCCUGCGUCCCAUCAGCUAGUUGGUAGGGUAACGGCCUACCAAGGCUAUGACGGGUAGGGGACCUGAGAGGGUCGGCCCCCCACAAUGGAACUGAAACACGGUCCAUACACCUACGGGUGGCAGCAGUAGGGAAUAUUAGAAAUGGGCGGAAGCCUGAUCUAGCAACACCGCGUGUGCGAUGAAGGCCUUCGGGUCGUAAAGCACUUUUUGGAGGGAAUAGGAAGGAAGGUACCUCCAGAAUAAGUCUCGGCUAACUACGUGCCAGCAGCCGCGGUAAACAUACCUCGUA
rnacentral:rRNA from 1 species